UACGAAGGGGGCUAGCGUUGUUCGGAAUUACUGGGCGUAAAGGGCGCGUAGGCGGCCACCGCAAGUCGACUGUGAAAUCUCCGGGCCUAACCCGGAAAGGUCAGCCGAUACUGCGGGGCUAGAGUGCAGAAGGGGCAACUGGAAUUCUCGGUGUAGCGGUGAAAUGCGUAGAUAUCGAGAGGAACACCUGCGGCGAAGGCGGGUUGCUGGGCUGACACUGACGCUGAGGCGCGAAAGCUAGGGGAGCGAACGGG
rnacentral:rRNA from 1 species